rnacentral:rRNA from 1 species
GACGAACGCUGGCGGCAGGCCUAACACAUGCAAGUCGAGCGGAGCGGCGGACGGGUGAGUAAUGCCUAGGAAUCUGCCUGGUAGUGGGGGAUAACGUCCGGAAACGGGCGCUAAUACCGCAUACUAUCAGAUGAGCCUAGGUCGGCUUAGCUAGUUGGUGGGGUAAAGGCCUCCCAAGGCGACGAUCCGUAACUGGUCUGAGAGGCUGAUCAGUCAGACUGGGAUUGAGACACGGUCCAGACGCCUCCGAGAGGCAGCAGUGGGGAAUAUUGGACAAAGGGCGAAAGCCUGAUCCAGCCAUGCCGCGUGUGUGAAGAAGGUCUUCGGAUAGUAAAGCAAUUUAAGUUGGGAGGAGUAACCAAGAGAAUAAGCAACGGCUAACUCCGUGCCAGCAGCCGCGGUGAUUA